CGGUAAUUCCAGCUCCAAUAGCGUAUACUAAAGUUGUUGCAGUUAAAAAGCUCGUAGUUGGAUUUCUGCGGGGACGGAGCGGCCGGACGCAACUUGCGUCUCGAGCUAGCGCUUUCCCCGCAUCCUGCCGCGAACCGUGCUACCAUUAGCUUGGUGGCGCUGGGGAUCGGCUCGAUUACUUUGAGAAAAAUAGAGUGUUCAAAGCAGGCCACACGCCUUGAAUAAGUUAGCAUGGAAUAAUGACUAAGGACUUCGGUUCUAUUUUGUUGGUGUUCGGGACUGAAGUAAUGAUUGAUAGGGACAGUUGGGGCGGUCUGUAUUCCAAAGCGAGAGGUGAAAUUCUUAGACCUUCGGAAGACAAACAGCUGCGAAAGCGUUCCGCAAGGAUGUUCCCUUUGAUCAAGAACGAAAGUUGGGGGAUCGAAGACGAUCAGAUACCGUCGUAGUCUCAACUAUAAACUAUACCAGCUAGGGAUCGGUCAACGUUUAAUCAUUCGACUUGAUCGGCACCUUAUGAGAAAUCAAAGCAUCUGGGUUCCGGGGGGAGUAUGGUCGCAAGGCUGAAACUUAAAGGAAUUGACGGAAGGGCACCACCAGCCGUGGAGCCUGUGGCUUAAUUUGACUCAACACGGGAAAACUUACCAGGUCCAGACAUAGUAAGGAUUGACAGAUUGAUAGCUCUUUCUUGAUUCUGUGGGUGGUGGUGCAUGGCCGUUCUUAGUUGGUGGAGUGAUUUGUCUGGUUAAUUCCGUUAACGAACGAGACCCCAGCCUGCUAAAUAGCGCGGUUGAGCUUUGCUCGAUGCGAGCUUCUUAGAGGGACUAUGAUGCGCGAUAGCACAUGGAAGUUUGGGGCAAUAACAGGUCUGUGAUGCCCUUAGAUGUUCUGGGCCGCACACGGGCUACACUGGCGCCUGCAACGAGCAUAUCAGCUGGCCCGAGAGGGUCUUGGCUAAUCUUUUGAACCGGCGCCGUGCUUGGGAUUGACCAUUGCAAUUGUUGGUCAUGCAACGAGGAAUGCCUUGUAAACGCGAGUCAUCGGCUCGCAUUGAAUACGUCCCUGCUCUUUGUACACACCGCCC
rnacentral:rRNA from 1 species